rnacentral:misc_RNA from 1 species
AACGCACGAGACCUGCGGACCUGCGGAAGGAUCAUUACAUGGCGGAGGAGGUGGGCACCUAGUAAAAACAAAACCCUAGGUGUGUUGCCUACCACGCUUUCUACCCUUGUCUAUUUGCACCUUUUGUCGUUCCCUCGGUGGGUCUUGAACCUGCCGGCGGCAACUUUCAAAAACCUUUUGUAGUUAGUAUCUAAUUCUUCUGAUCAAAUAUUCAAUCGUUACAACUUUUAGCAAUGGAUC